rnacentral:rRNA from 1 species
GAUGAACGCUGGCGGCGUGCCUAACACAUGCAAGUCGAGCGAUUCUCUUCGGAGAAGAGCGGCGGACGGGUGAGUAACGCGUGGGUAACCUGCCCUGUACACACGGAUAACAUACCGAAAGGUAUGCUAAUACGAGAUAAUAUGCUUUUAUCGCAUGGUAGAAGUAUCAAAGCUCCGGCGGUACAGGAUGGACCCGCGUCUGAUUAGAUAGUUGGUAAGGUAACGGCUUACCAAGGCGACGAUCAGUAGCCGACCUGAGAGGGUGAUCGGCCACAUUGGAACUGAGACACGGUCCAAACUCCUACGGGAGGCAGCAGUGGGGAAUAUUGCACAAUGGGCGUAAGCCUGAUGCAGCAACGCCGCGUGAGCGAUGAAGGCCUUCGGGUCGUAAAGCUCUGUCCUCAAGGAAGAUAAUGACGGUACUUGAGGAGGAAGCCCCGGCUAACUACGUGCCAGCAGCCGCAGUAA